rnacentral:rRNA from 1 species
UACGAAGGGGGCUAGCGUUGCUCGGAAUCACUGGGCGUAAAGGGUGCGUAGGCGGGUCUUUAAGUCAGGGGUGAAAUCCUGGAGCUCAACUCCAGAACUGCCUUUGAUACUGAAGAUCUUGAGUUCGGGAGAGGUGAGUGGAACUGCGAGUGUAGAGGUGAAAUUCGUAGAUAUUCGCAAGAACACCAGUGGCGAAAGCGGCUCACUGGCCCAAUACUGACGCUGAGGUGCGAAAGCGUGGGGAGCAAACAGG